GGAAACAGAAGUUAAAUGCUUUGUCCAGAGUCACACAGCUUGUGUCUCCAUCAGGAUGCCAUCUUGCAAGUUCCUGGCUAGAAGAUGAGCAAGGUGAGCCUUCUUGAAGUUAAAGGAACACAAGGAAAAUAGCAGAGGAUUGGGGAGAUAACACAGGACAUCUCAGCUCCAUAUCAAGCAAAAUUCCUGUUAUCUGAAAGCUGAAAAAGAAGACUCUGAGAGGAUGAUCUGACCAUAGUUAAAGAGCUACCAAGUACUGGAGUCAGAUUUUGUAAGUAGGUCUUUGAAGAUUCCCAAUUUGAUGUUCUUUCUAGUAAAUCACAAUGCCUCUUUGAAAUUUUGAAACCUAAAAUUUCAUCACCUCAAAUCUGAAAUUUCA